GUCACGUAAACAACAACAGAAUCUGCCAGUUCCAUCUAGGGUCAUUUUCAUCAAGCAUUUGUAUAAAUAAUCAAGAAGGGGGAGAAACAAUAUAAUCAUAUUUGUAGGUUGGAAGAUGAUGCUAAAUCCUGGGAAAGUAAAGAAUAAACUAGCAAACACUGAUAGACCAUGAAGCUAGCUGAAUCUCCGACAGGAAGUUUCUGGAUGUCAGAUCUGUAACAAGUACCUUCUUGACACACUUGGUGAUCGACCACAUGCCAUGUGAUGUUUUUCUCAGCCAUGGGAAGGGGCAACUCUCAUGUGUAACUUUUGCUGACCCUUUAAGAAAACCCAUUCCACAAAGUGGUCUCCUUGGAACCUAUCCUUACUGGAACCGUGUGUCAUCUGAAAUGGCCGUGCUUGCCUGACAGCAUCCAAGUGAUGGAUACAGUCCAGGCCUUGAAGAGAGAUGACACAAAGCAGUCCGCAGCUGACAACAGACAAGUAGCAAGAGUAAUCUUAAAGUUUAUGAGGAAGAAUAAAAUUUCAAAAAUAAAGCAUAAGUGUGAAAAAGAAGAAUGAGGUGAGACCCGACUUAUCAGAUAACUGAAGAUAAUCUAAAGCCCUUAAACUCAAGUAAUGAUAUUUGGCAUUGAUAAGCAAACAGAAUAGCACCUCCAGAAAUAUAUGGACACUCAAUAUGGUCAUGUGUCAUUUAACGAUGGGGAUAUAUUCUGAGAAACAUCUCAUUAGGUGAUUGCAUCAUUGUGUGAACAUCAUGAAGUAGACAUACACAAACCUAGAAUGGUAUAUAGCCUAUUAUACAUCCUGGCUACUGGUAUGGCCUAUUGCUCUUAGGCUACAAACCUGUAGAGUAUGUUACUAUACUCAAUACUAUAGGCAAUUGUAACAUAAGGUAAGUAUUUGUGUGUAUCUAAACAUAGAAAAAGUGCAGUAAAAAUAUAUUACGAAAGAUUGAAAAUAGUACACCUUUAUAAGGCACUUACCAUGAAUGGGGUUUGUAGGACUGGAAAUUGCUCUGGGUGAGUUAGUUGAGUGGUGAGUGACUGUGAAGACCUAGAACAUUACUAUACACUACUGCAGACUUUAUAAAACACUACACUUAGG
rnacentral:lncRNA from 1 species